UCAAAUAACAAUACUGAAACUUAUUUGUAAAUGGUUUGGACACGCUUAGACACAUUUGUGUUUUGUUUACUGUUAUAAAUACCAUUAGAAUGGUGAUUUCAGUAUUUCUAUAUUAUGUUAUUAAUUUGAUGUUCAGUUUGCAUUGUGUAAAGUCUGCUGAUACACAGUAUAUGAAAAAAUCGAUCCGGAGUUACUUUUCGGAUACCAGACAUCACGAUCUUAUAUACAAAGACUAUAAGUAUGCCGCCAAAAAAUAUAUUUAUGAAGAAUUCUUGAGAUAUAGACUACAAACUGAAUAUCAUACAUUUCAGGAAGCUUCUGUAUCCGCUACUGAUUAUUUCCAAUCAGUUAUCGGUAUAUCAAGAGGCGUUAACUUUGGAACAGCAAAUGACCGGAUUAUUGGACUAGGUGCACAUUACGAUACAGUUAGAGAAACCAAAGGAGUUGAUGAUAAUGGAGCAGGAGUUGCAGCCAUGUUAGAAGUUGUUAGACAAUUGACUGAUAUGAACAGAAAUGGUGUCAAAAGGGAAAAUACAAUCAUUUUUGUAGCGUUUGAUUUGGAAGAAUAUGGAUCUUGCUACCAAUCGAUAGGUUGCAAACUGCCUCAAGUCCCACUGGCUGGAAGCCGACAUUUUCUUCAGACAUGGGUACCUGCAUGGUUAAGUAUAAAUUAUGUCGAUGCAAUACCACUAGUGAUGCAUGGAGUAAUUAUAUUGGACACUAUGAUGGAAUAUAAUACCUCGGCUAGAUCUCAGAUGAUUCCACCACAAAUAGUAGACGCGGUAUGCUAUAUCAAUUACUUCUAUACAGGAAAUAAAAUCCCAUUUAAUUGAACCAAAUAUUUAAGAUAUUUACCAUUACUAUUGUUUAAAUAAUUAUUCAUCUGUUUAUCUGUUCAAUGAACAAAAAUUAUGAAAAAACUGAACUGGUAGCUUGACAUAUGAUCUAAAUAAAUGCAGGUAUAUUAGACGUAAAACUUGUUAAACCCCACCACAUUGUGUUCCUUUACCAAGUCAGGUUAUCUAAACAAUGUAUUUUUCGUUGUUGCUGGUCUCUGUACGUCUAUAUUUUUUUUGGAGGAGUCAUAUGUUGGUGGUUGCUGUUGUUUAUAGUACUGUUCAAAACUUUUGAUAAUUCAUGUUAUCCGUAAAUCUUAUAUCAACUUUCUCUUUUUUUCAUCGAAAAGCUUCAUGUUUACAUUAAUUAUUUAACUGUUAAAAAACAAGAUUUGGUGUUGCGAAACUGGACAUGUUUAUCAUAAACGUACGCAAGAACAUAAGCGCUCCUCUUUUCGAAGAUAUCAAAAGGAGAGUAAAAAAAAUCUUCAACAAAAUUGUAUCAUAUAGCUCCUAAGGUCGCAGAGUUUUUUUCAUUUUUUUCAUUUUUCAUUAUCUAUAAAUCAAUGGAUGCAUUGUUGACUCGGUUUCAUUCAUAGAAGAUAGCUAGUUUCCAUCCUAAUAGUUUGUCGCAAGUAUAGCUUCUUUCCAUCCAUUAUUUUGUUUAACUUCAAUACUAGGAUUUACUUGUACUAAUAUACCUAGUGUAUUCAAUGAUCAUAUUGUUAGAUAAAUCAAUCGUUCUUUGAUCACUUCUGAAGCUAUAUUUAAAGAAAAAUCCAAGUUUAUGAGGCCUAAAAAUUGCCCAUGAUAGAAUCAUCUAAUUAACAGAUAGACAUAUUGUCGAUUUUAUAUGUAAUUGAUACGUUAUUGCCAUACAAAGCGUAACUACUAUAUUUUUACUCAAUUUAUAUUUAAGAAUUGCCAAAGACUUGUGAAGUGUAAAGGAUGGAGAAGUAAAAUAUUAAUUAAACUAUUGCAAAAGGGAAAGACUUGAUUGUAUGUACUCUUACAGAUCUUUGGAGUUUUUUUAAUAUCCACAUCUGAUUUACUUUCAUAGCAACUCAGUAGCCCUGGUUUGAUUGCUGACAGAAUUGUUUUUCACCUGGUACCUUUAUUCGACUUGUGGCAUUUAAUUGCUUUUUUUGGUGUCUUCUCACGCUUAAAGGUAAUAUGGAAAGAGGUUUAGUGGAGCAUUUGACAGCUCUUGCAAUACAUACUUGUUUGUUUAAUGAAACUUGUGUUAUAAUGUAUCCAGUUAAGUGAGGGCAGAUUUCUUUCGUCAUGUUUGGUUGAAUUGCCAAAGGAAAAAUAAACUAAACCUAUUUUUGUCCAGAAUUUCUUCUGUAUUAAGUGUCGUUGAAGUAUAUGUUGGGUUCCAAAGAGAGUUUUCAAUACCUAUCUCCUUUAUCGGUUCAUAUGCAUGUAAUGUGAAUUACUCCUAUACACUAUUCUGUUUGGUAUACUAUGCGAGGACAAUACCAUAUGUGUCAUGAAGGUCUAGCAAGAUGUAAGUCCUUGAAGAUGCAUUAUGCAUGAUUGAUGAUAUAGCUGUAAAUUUAGAGCAUUAAAAAUCUUACAAAACAUGGAUACGUCUUUCAUAAAUUGAUUAAAACCUUUUACUAAAUUGAAAAAAACUUUGGACCUUGACUUUAAAGCGAUUUGCUUAGUUUUGAUAUACCGACAAUCAAGUACAGUUUUAUAUUACCACUGGGAAUUUUUCAAACCUUUUAUGCUAUUAUAUAUUUAUUGAUAUUAAAGCUAAGCAGCCUAGAUAAGUUUGUAUUUAGCUACGUCAUGAUAAAUUGGCAAAGCAAAAAAGAAGGCAUACGAAUAAUACUAAAAUAGACUAAAACUAACCGUUUCAAAGGUUGCAUCAUUCAGAUUCAGUAGUAACAGUAGCUUUCGAGUAUUCGAUUUGUAUAUGACCUUGUAUAAAUAUAAAAAUGAGAGGAUGUGGUAUGAUUGCCAAAUAGACAACUUUACAUCAGAGUUCAAAUGACGUAGAUAUAAGCAAUUAUAGGUCACCCACCGUACGGCCUUCAACAAAUAGAAACAUCUAUUUCGUAUAGUCAGCUUUAAUAGGCCCCGACAUAGAAAAUUGUGAAACAGUUGAAACAAGAAAACUAACGGUCUAAUACAAUUGACGAAAAACAAAUAUUACUUGUUUUGCUGUUUCCAUGACACUAACCGUUCUAUAUUGUACAGUCUUCAUGAAUCUAAAUAUUUUUUCAAUUUAAAACAGCAUUUCCAGAAACCUAUGAUAGUAUAGCUUCUGACAAUUUCCGAGGAGACUUUCUUAAUUUGAUAUACCGGCAACCAACUAACGAUUCAUACUUAGCUGCCGAAUUUCUUUCGUCUUGGAGAGGUCUGGGGAAAGCAAAAUAUGAAAUAGAAUCUCUUCCUCUCUCGUUUCUAAAGUUCAGCACUUUACCAUCUGACGACAAAAACGUUCUCAUUAACUUCAUGCAAAGUGAUCAGGGUAAUUUCUGGGAAAAUGGUUAUCCAGCCAUCUGGUUGACGGACUCGGCCAAUUUCCGAGGUGAUAUGAUACAAUGUCAUCAUCAUGAAUGUGAUAAUCUACAAGUCAUGCUGACCGAUGAAAAUAUCAAUUUCCUUGGAAAAACUGCUGAUGCUAUCGUAAAGACGAUUCAUAAACUUUCAGAACCAUCGGGAUCUGGAGUAACAUCAGAUUCUUCCUACAAAACUAGCAGUACAGGUGGCAUAUUUGGAAUAAUAAUAGCAGUUAUAGUAUUACAGAUUCUUUAAUUGUGGCAUGCAUAAUAUGGAGGAGAAAUAAAUCAAAUAAUGAACAGAUGAGUUCAAAUGAAUUUGAAAACCCCUCUUAUGGAAAGAAAUAAACGGACAGUCAGUGGAACGUGUUUCCGGGCAAAACUUUGUAUUCUUUAGCAAGCCUGUGAAUGAUUACGCGUUCCUAUGAACUAACGUUUUACAUAUAUUAAACCCCUAUAUCUAUGUUUACAGCUUGGCUAGGUGUGGUAUAAUUGAUUUAUUAUAUAAAUUAUGUAAUACCUUUUAAAGAGGCCAAGUUUUUAUAACCUCAAUAUUUGAGAACAAUAAUUUGUUUAAUGAGUGAUUUAGUCUUUUAAAUGAAAGCAUAUUAUUGAGAGUCAUGAGAGAAAGAUAUAGGUUCUUUGCUUCUUAAAACUCUUUCGACAUGCGUGUGUGUUCAGGAUUGUGUCUUGGUACAUGGUAAAACAAACUAUGCAAAUUAGUUUUCACUUUUCAUCAAAUAUUAUGUGUAUGUAUGUAAUUAACUGUUAUGCAUAUUCUUUGGUCCUUUCAAAUAUGCAUACUACGUGGAAUAUUUGGCAAAAUGGUUUCUGCAUUACACCAUGAGUCUAGAAAAUAUUGUGAAAGAAAAAAAAACAAGAAAAUUAUUUUUUUAUACUCAUAUUUAUUAUGCAAUGUGCAACAUUUGCAAGUAAUCAAAUCAAAAAAAUAUGUGACUCUAAAUCAUGACAAAAGUUUUCCAUUGACAAACAUACAAUAUUGUUCUUUUUUUUGCAAAACUUCAGCAAAAACCAUAUAGUCGUCACAGUGUGAGAAGAAAGUUGCACGGGUUUUUUUUUUAUUCGGAAGACAGUCAAGCAGUCCUCCGCCAUUCGAAAGAAUAAUAAGUUACUGGGUGUAAGGUUUGAUUAACACACGUUACUACAUAAAGCUUCCACUUCAAGAUUUGGUAAAGAAAAUGUUCUAUUUGUACAUAAAAUUUGGUAAAGAAAAUGUUCUAUAUGUACAUAAGAUUUGGUAAAGAAAAUGUUCUCUAUGUAUAUAAUAGAUAAAUCUUCAAAAUUUCAGCCAUAAAGGUCCAGCAAUAACAAAAACCAGCAAAAUAAUAAAAAAACGACAUAUGCACCCAAACAUUUGCCUUAGAAUGGUGGAGCUCUAAGUAAAUCGAUCUAAACUGUCAAAUAACAGCGAUUAAAACUUAUCAUUGGUGCAAUUGUUGCGUAUGCACCUUUUCUAAUGUAUAGUUUUACCUCUCGGAAAGUUUAGAAGCAAUAAAACAAAAAAGUUCGUACAAAAUGAAAUACAUAAAACCGGAAGUGAGACCAGGGCUUACAGUCUAAAACAUUUCGAGUACGAUUAUCGAACUCACGCAGAAAUCAACCAAUCAAAGUACUGGAUUUGGUGUUUCGAGCAAAAAUGUUGUACUCCAAGUACUGAGUAAAGUUUUAUGACUGAAAAGCCAGGUACUCUGAAAGGGUCAGCAUCUUCUGAAGUUCACUUUAUUUGUUUUUGACUAAACAUUUAAAAAACAUGUCGAGCUCCACAACAUAAAUAUAUAAACAAUACAACAAAGAAAGUUUUAUCAAAAGACCUAAAUGUUCAAACUUGAUACAGGCAUUCGAAUGUUUAAUGGAAUUCUCAAAAUGCUCUCAACCUUAUCAACUGUUAACGGAACCAAUGGAAAGACACGUAUACGUCAGCAAAAAUCAAGUUAGACCAAAGUAUCAACAUAUCAACAAAACAAACGUAGACUCACAUUGCAAUUGCAGAUAUUGGAAGCUAGAUAAAACUUAUAUAUCUGUUAAUUAAGAUUAGUAAACUGAUUUGGGUGUUAAAUGGUAAUUAUGAACUUAACAACAUCUGAAGAUUCUGAACCUAAAAACGUUAAGUCUUGUGAUGAGCUUAUGUUAAUUUUCCGAUUUUUUUUUUCUCUUAGAAAAUUCAGUACCGUUCAGAAAUAUGACUUGCAAAGUAUUCAGUAUGUUGCUAUUUCUGAUGAAGGUAAAUCCAGAAUAGCACUUCGCACGCAUGAAAUUUAUAAAGUGUUGUUUUCAUUUUUUGUACAGGUAAAAAGCAACUUCUAAACCUUCUGAACAAAGACUGAACAGAUCUUAAAUACCUGGAAGCGAAUUGUCUAAACAGUUACUGUUCUGACUUUACCGCAGUGGAUAAGUCUGAUAAUUCACUGAAAUUAUUAAAUAAAUCAUUGUUUAGCCUUUUAAGAACGCGGAAAAGUCUGAUAAUUCACUGAAAAUGAUUAAAUAUUUCAUUGUUUAGCCUUUGAAGAACGUGGAUAAGUCUGAUAAUUAACUAAACUGUUUAAAUAAUUCAUUGGUCAGUCUUUUAAGAGCAGUUCACACCAAAAUGACCGUUUCAGUUAAAAAUUGGUUUACUAGUGAGAAGCUAUACUAUAGCACGAAAUUAAGAUUGUUCAAAAUAACUUGAAUGAAAUGUUUGCGAUUAAAUCAACCUGAAAUCGGAAAUAUCCGGGGGAAGCCAGUAUUUAUCAGCAAUAUUUGAAUCGUUACAGUUAUUAUUAGUUAAUCAAAUCGAGCCAACAAUAUCAUCAUUUCUAUAUCUUUUCAUCUUUUUUUUCUGGUGGGGAUGAUACACAUAGAAAAUGUCAAUGAAAUGAUCCGUAUGUCUAAUGUUGAAUUAUUUUAGAGUGAAACAAAUAUGUUGAAUUCUAAAAGCUUUUAGGCCUUUGUAUCGUUGGUUGAAUUUUGAAUUUCACGUUUAUCCGACAUCUUCUUUUAAUGAUAAUUGUCAUGUAUGUGUUAUGCACAUGUGUGUGUAAGGAAACAAAUAAAACAAAUGUAUCAAAUGUUACACCGAUUUAAAUAAAAUCGGGAAACACCAAUCUCUAAAUAAAAGAUAGAAAAAUAC